GACGAACGCUGGCGGCGUGCUUAACACAUGCAAGUCGAACGGAAAGGCCCUGCUUUUGUGGGGUGCUCGAGUGGCGAACGGGUGAGUAACACGUGAGUAACCUGCCCUUGACUGUGGGAUAACUUCAGGAAACUGGGGCUAAUAUCGGAUAGGAGCUCCUGCUGCAUGGUGGGGGUUGGAAAGUUUCGGCGGUUGGGGAUGGACUCGCGGCUUAUCAGCUUGUUGGUGGGGUAGUGGCUUACCAAGGCUUUGACGGGUAGCCGGCCUGAGAGGGUGACCGGCCACAUUGGGACUGAGAUACGGCCCAGACUCCUACGGGAGGCAGCAGUGGGGAAUAUUGCACAAUGGGCGGAAGCCUGAUGCAGCAACGCCGCGUGCGGGAUGACGGCCUUCGGGUUGUAAACCGCUUUCGCCUGUGACGAAGCGUGAGUGACGGUAAUGGGUAAAGAAGCACCGGCUAACUACGUG
rnacentral:rRNA from 1 species